rnacentral:rRNA from 1 species
AGCGAACGCUGGCGGCAGGCUUAACACAUGCAAGUCGAGCGCCUGUAGCAAUACAGGAGCGGCAGACGGGAGAGUAACACGUGGGAACAUGCCCUUCGGUUCGGAAUAACUCAGGGAAACUUGAGCUAAUACCGGAUACGUCCGUAAGGAGAAAGAUUUAUUGCCGAAGGAUUGGCCCGCGUCCGAUUAGCUAGUUGGUGAGGUAAUGGCUCACCAAGGCGACGAUCGGUAGCUGGUCUGAGAGGAUGAUCAGCCUCAUUGGGACUGAGA